CUACUGCUUCGAUGAAUCACGGAUUUAAUUCACAUGUCAGACUUCAGAGAUUUUUGAAAAAACAAAAUCUAUGAGAAGGAAAAUUCAUUUUUCUGAGCACCUAG